AACGAACGCUGGCGGCAGGCUUAACACAUGCAAGUCGAGCGCCCCGCAAGGGGAGCGGCAGACGGGUGAGUAACGCGUGGGAACGUACCCUUUGCUACGGAAUAGCUCCGGGAAACUGGAAUUAAUACCGUAUGUGCCCUACGGGGGAAAGAUUUAUCGGCAAAGGAUCGGCCCGCGUGGGAUUGGCUAGUUGGUGGGGUAAUGGCCUACCAAGGCGACGAUCCAUAGCUGGUCUGAGAGGUUGAUCAGCCACAUUGGGACGGAGACACGGCCCAGACUCCUACGGGAGGCAGCAGUGGGGAAUCUUGCGCAAUGGGCGAAAGCCUGACGCAGCCAUGCCGCGUGAAUGAUGAAGGCCUUAGGGUUGUAAAGCUCUUUCAGUGGGGAAGAUAAUGACUGUACCCACAGAAGAAGCCCCGGCUAACUCCGUGCCAGCCGCCGCGGUAACAC
rnacentral:rRNA from 1 species